rnacentral:piRNA from 1 species
UCCCAAAACUCCUUUGUGCCAACUUCUCUC